rnacentral:lncRNA from 1 species
AAAUAUGGCGGUCGUUUGUAAUAUUAGAACGUGUUGGAAUUUUGAGCACUAUAGAUUUUGCGGAAACUAAUUUGAUCAACGUCCCAAUUCUCUGGAAUAUUGAAUCAAUGUCUUCGAACACAUCUUUGCUGGACUUGGCUGCAUUGAUGUAGUGAUGAACACCACGGAUCGCAUAAUAAUCAACCAAUGGUGCAGUCUGCGUGUGUUGCAGGUAUGAAAAUCUGAGAUACUGAACCAGAAAAUCAGUAGUACUUUGUGGCUCUUACAUCAUCUUUCAUGGGAACCUUUGGUGGAGAAAAUUCAUCGUGAUAAGAUCGUCCACUAGCAGGAUGUAUAAGACGACCGGUGAUUCUUCGCACUAGCAAAGAAUCAUCAAUU